rnacentral:lncRNA from 1 species
CCGAGAGGCCGGGGCCUCCGGGCGGCGCCGUGUCCGCGACCGCGUACCCUGACACCCCCGCGGAAUUCCCUCCGCACCUCCAGGCGGGUGAGCAUGGGUUUAUGCGUCUUAGGCAUUAUUGUGAUGGCGAGCACCAAUUCUCUGAUGUGGACCUUCUUUAGCCGGGGCCUCAGUUUCUCCAUGUCUUCAGCCAUUGCAUCUGUCACAGUGACUUUUUCAAAUAUCCUCAGCUCGGCCUUCCUGGGCUAUGUGCUGUAUGGAGAGUGCCAGGAGGUCUUGUGGUGGGGAGGAGUGUUCCUUAUUCUCUGCGGACUCACCCUAAUCCACAGGAAGCUCCCACCCACCUGGAAGCCCCUUCCACACAAGCAGCAGUAGCACCACUUGGCUAGACGGACCAGCUGGAAAGAUCAUGAUGGUGGCCCAGCCUUGGGAUGUCAUGUGGGACUGUAUCCUAGGGCGAUCCAGUUGUGCAGCCUUCUGACCAUCAGCCAAGGGAAGCAGGCCUCUGAUGGAGCAGGCUCUGGCUCUGUAAGGAGAGGUGCAGCUGCAGCAGUGUUCUACCGGAAGUGUUUUGAUCAUCUGUACAGUGCUUUGGAUUCUUCCUCCCAGGCCUACCCCAGUGAGCCUUCGCAGAUGCUGGAGAUCCUGGGGUUGGUCUGCUUUGUGUAUGGUACUUGAAACCACGCUGUAAUUAUUGUCCUGUUGCCAAACAAAAGCCAGUCAUGUAACUCUAGAAGCAGUGACUGGUGGGGCUUUCUGACAGUUCCAUGCUGAUGUAUCAGGCCAUCUGUGUCAUGCUUAUGUAUUAUGGCAAGAAGAGGAAAACUGGAUUAAUAAAUACGUUUUUUGUAAGU